GUGCUUGCUUCGGCGGCAUAUAUUCUAAAAUUGGGAUGACAGAAAAUUAGCAUGGCCUCUGGGCAGAAAAAUAAAUACAAGUAAAUAUAAAUCUGUUU
ensembl:snRNA U6 U6 spliceosomal RNA